rnacentral:rRNA from 1 species
CAUUGGGUCUUGGUACUACAUGUACAGGAUAGGUGGGAGGCUUUGAAACCAGGACGCCAGUUUUGGCGGAGCCAUCCUUGGGAUACCCCCCUUGUAGUACUGGGACUCUAACCAUAGGCCAUGAAUCUGGUCUUGGGACACUGUCAGGUGGGCAGUUUGACUGGGGCGGUCGCCUCCCAAAAGGUAACGGAGGCGCUCAAAGG